AUUGAACGCUGGCGGCAUGCUUUACACAUGCAAGUCGAACGGUAACAGGGAGCUUGCUCCGCUGACGAGUGGCGAACGGGUGAGUAAUGCAUCGGAACGUGCCUAUUUGUGGGGGAUAACGUAGCGAAAGUUACGCUAAUACCGCAUACGCCCUGAGGGGGAAAGCGGGGGGAUUCGUAAGAACCUCAUGCUCCUGGAGCGGCCGAUAUCUGAUUAGCUAGUUGGUAGGGUAAAGGCCUACCAAGGCUUCGAUCAGUAGCUGGUCUGAGAGGACGACCAGCCACACUGGAACUGAGACACGGUCCAGACUCCUACGGGAGGCAGCAGUGGGGAAUUUUGGACAAUGGGCGCAAGCCUGAUCCAGCAAUGCCGCGUGAGUGAAGAAGGCCUUCGGGUUGUUAAAGGCUCUUUGUCAGGAGAAACGGUGGGAGCUAUAUCUCCUACUAAUGACGGUACCUGAAGAAUAAGCACCGGCUAACU
rnacentral:rRNA from 1 species